UACGUAGGGGGCGAGCGUUGUCCGGAUUUAUUGGGCGUAAAGAGCGUGUAGGCGGCCAGGUAGGUCUGCUGUGAAAACCUCGAGGCUCAACCUCGAGACGUCGGCGGAAACCAUCUGGCUAGAGUCCGGAAGAGGAAAGUGGAAUUCCUGGUGUAGCGGUGAAAUGCGCAGAUAUCAGGAAGAACACCCGUGGCGAAGGCGGCUUUCUGGGACGGUACUGACGCUGGAGACGCGAAAGCGUGGGGAGCGAACAGG
rnacentral:rRNA from 1 species